ensembl:lncRNA
UUUUUUUUAAUCAUGUAAAAAGAGAAACACUGGCAAAUACUUUGGACACUAGUAUGCUUCAGAGCCAGAGUUUGUCUAAAGGCCAGUUUAUACUUGGUCUAACGACAUGUCUGUGUGUAGACGAUUAGAAUGCGACGAAUGUCGCUGGUCAAAAUUACUUUUAAUUUAUACUCCGGUGAAAUGUCUGUAGACCGUCGCUGCGACUGUUAGUUUCCUUGACGCACAGACACGAACAAAUGUAUCUGCGACUGUCGCAACGUCCGUUGUCGUGGUUACCGGACUGCCACAGCAACCAGACCAAAUCAAAUCCAAUGUUAUUUGUCACAUGCGCCGAAUACAGGUGUAGACCUUACAGUGAAAUGCUUACUUACAAGACCUUAACCAAACAUGCAGUUUUAAGAAAAAUCCCUACAAAAAUAAAAGUAACAAAUAAUUAAAUAGCAGCAAUAAAAUAACAUUAGCGAGGUUAUAUACAGGGGGUACCGGUGCAGGGGCACCGGUUAGUCCACGUAAUUGAGGUAAUAUGUUCAUGUAGGUCGAGUUCUCCUGUCACAAGAUGCGAGAGUUCUAAAAUGCUCCUAUAGAAUGACCUACUUUUAUUUCGUUACACUGUGGCAGUAAGCUAUUUUCUGUUAGUUCGCCAUUAGUUUGUAAAUAAUUAUGUUGUCUUGGAUUUAUUUUCCUGUAAUAAUGACUAAAAAAAGGGCUAAAGGAAAGACUGUCAGCUAUACUCUGCCUUUGCCAUCCUCUGUGCGGGCCUUUGUACACACCAGUGAGCUGCUUCAACCACACCCUGGUCCAAGCAGGCUCUAGGUCCCAGCCUUCAGCCUCAGCCCCAGACCUCCAGCCAGCUACAAGGCCUGGUCAGGGAGCCAAACCUCCAGCCCCAGACGUCCAGCAAGCUGCAAGGCCUGGUCAGGGAGCCAAACCUCUAGGCCCAGACAUCCAGCCAGCUGCAAGGCCUGGUCAGGGAGCCAAACCUCUAGGCCCAGACAUCCAACCAGCUGCAAGGCCUGGUCAGGGAGCCAUUCCCCCAGGUCCCAGCCCCAGACGUCCAGCAAGCUGCAAGGCCUGGUCAGGGAGCCAAACCUCCAGGCCCAGACGUCCAGCCAGCUGCAAGACCUGGUCAGGGAGCCAAACUUCCAGGCUCAGACGUCCAGCCAGCUGCAAGGCCUGGUCAGGGAGCCAAACAUCUAGGCCCCAGCCCCAGAUGUCCAGCCAGCUGAAAUGCCUGGUCAGGGAGCCAAACCUCCAGGCCCCAGCCCCAGAGCUGAGCAGAGAAUCAGGUUAGAGGUAGAGAUGGAGGGAAUCCAGCCUGUCAGUUUGUGUUGAGAUGAUAUUGGUAAACAAUAAACAGUGGGAUGGGACUGAUACACACACACAGAGAGAGAGAGAUGGAAGGAGAUGUGGAUGUGUAGACAAUAAGUUGAUUAUGGAGGAGACAUGGAGUUGGCGAGACAUGUUGUUGAUAUGGGGUGGUUGAAUAGUUUUGACCCAGUACUGGACUUGACAAGAGUUACAGAUGACUCCCAUAGUAUGGAGCUCCCAUACAGCCAACUGUCAUGGUGAUGACAACUGGUUAAAUGGGCUGCCACAGGCUUCAUCAAGUUUCCUACAGAACCUAGAUUGGAAUCAGAGAAGCACAUGGACAGAGGAAUAAACCCUCACACAACACUUCUCAAAUACAAAUGCACCAGUUGCCUCCUUCAUGGCCCCAUAAUAUGGACUCAAAAUCAAAUUCUUAAUCAACUUAUUUUUAACCAUUGCACAUUGCUAUUGUUUUAUUCAUUACUGGUUUAAUAUAUUUAACUGUGGGUCUGGCGGCUUCACUGUCUCUCAUCUCAGCCUUGUCCCAGAGUGGAGCUCACAUCUGGUCGCAAUCAGGAGAGAGAGAGAGAGAGAGAGAGGAGAGAGAGAGAGAGAGAGAGAGAGAGAGAGAGAGAGAGAGAGAGAGAGAGAGAGAGAGAGAGAGAAUGCAUGCCCAUUAGUAGUCCAUGAUUUGGCAGUAGUCUCCACGUACAGCGGUACACCAUCCAUCUCUCCACUGGAGUUAUACAGAACAUAGCCUCCUAGAAGGCCUUUACUCCAACCCAUUCUUCCCACCCUUAUUACCUGAUUUAAUUAGAUUCUAAACGAGGGGAACAGAAUGAACAGGAGUCAUGGAUUUGGGUUAUUGGCAGCCUCGGGGAUAAGGAGACC